AAACCUGAGACAAACAUAUAUACACACAACCAAAUUGUAUAUUUUGGUUUGCUUGAAGAUCUAUACAAGAUCUCUUCUACAAGAUUUUCCCUCAAAAUCUUUUUCUUGAAAAUCUUAUCAAGAUCUCUACAAAAUCUCUUGUCUCAAAAAAUGAAACCUCUAUCUAUAAGAUCAUUCUCACCUCCCCACUCUCUCUAAAUUCAAACACUCUCUCUCUCAAUUAUACUUACCGGCAACAAAGCAUAUGAAAACCUUUCAUCUUUACAAUCCCAUCUCUUAGUUAUAAACAAAAAAAAAACAUCAGAACCAUUUAUCCCCUUCCCUAUCCCUCUCGAUUACAUUAAACAACAUAGAGAAAUCCCCUUCUUUACUCACAAAACCCUCUAACCCCCCCCCCCCCUCUUUCUCUCCGGUAAACACCUACUAGUCACCGGAAACCAAUCCGACCACCACCAUCUCCGGGUGGCAACAGAGGAGAGCAACACCGCCACCAGGGUGGUGACGAUGACAAACCAGAGAGACGGAGAGAAAGAGACUGUUCGAGUUCUGUGGAGAACGAGAGAGAGAGAGAUGAAGGCGUCGGAAGUGGAGCGGCGCCACCGUUCACGGCGGCGGCAGUGGUGGUGACGGUUUUCCUUCCCGGUAAGCCAAGAGUUUUAUUUCUCUUUCCUUCUCAGAUUUUAACUCGAUACGUUACUUUUAUUUUCUUUCGGGUGAGUGAAGAGGUGCCGAUGAAGAUAAUGUUGAAGAUGAUUAAGGAUGACGAUGAUGGUGCUGGUGGCCGGCACCACCGCCGUCGACGAAGGUUCCGUUUUUCCGACGAUUCAACGGAAGUGGAUCGGUGGUCAUCAACUUGGUUAACAGGUUCGGGUGUUUGGUUCGAGUUGUUUUGGAGCGGUUUGGUUCGGGUCUCGGUCAGCCAUGGUUCGGGUCUUGUUACGGAUGGGUCAACAAGUCAAGAUGUUCGGUUUCUGGUCAACAUUAGUCAGCGGGUUCGGUUGACUCGGUCAAACCUGGUCAACUCAGCGAGUCGACUCAGUCAACUCAGCUGGUCAACUCAGUUGACCCGGUCAACUCAGUUGACCCGGUCAACUCAGUUGACCCGGUCAACUCAGUCAGCGGUUCGAUGUCCGACACUAAGACUUGGUAAAAGUAAACAAUGCCUUUAACAGUUAUGUUUGUAUAUAGUUUGGUUAAAUACGCGAUAUCGAGAUCAAACCGAACGAAUUAGUAUUUAGUUUAUAUUUUGUUGCUUUUACAAAAGUUAUUUAUAUUGAUUAUUGAACAUUGAUUGAAUUUUGAAAAAAAUAACGACAACUUGUGUUGUCGGGGGCGUCCAAAAACAGAGGAAACUCUGCCUGUUUUUCGAGAAAAUCCGUAAAACAAAACGCGUUUUAUUAUCAAACAAAUGAUCGGAUUCAAAUAUACUUUUAGAAAAACAAAUACAAACCGAUAAUUACUUUCGGCGACACUUUAUAACUUACAAAAACGACGAUGACGCAAACUAUUUUACAAAAUAAAUAUAAUUAUUAUAUUUAUCUCAAACGUUAAACUCGAAUUCUUUUUAUAAAUAAAUAUUGUUACCUAUUUAUUUCCGACACAAACAAAUCCAUUCUCUUAUAAAAGUAAAUAUAGUUAUAUAUUUAUCUUCAAACACUACAAGUCAACGAUUCUUUUAUAAAGUGAAUAUAACUUCUACAUUUAUUUCAAACGCCUAAACAACACAUUUAAUACGAGUUCAUUGUAUAUUAUUCGUUACAUACACGUACGAUUCCUUGGGACGUCUUACGCGAUUAUAACAAUAUAUUUUUAUAUUUUUAUAUAGAUAUUUAUAUAUUUUAACAUCUUUCGAGAACUAAGUAUUCCAAGACUUAGUAAUCUUAUCGACAAUAAAUGAAACUUAACGAAUAUAACUUAGUCAUUUUCGUUAAGUUAACAAUUUACCGUCAAAUCGUUCGGUCAACGAUUCGGUAGUGCUCAGUGACAGGUAGUUUAGUUACCGCUUUUGGUUAGAAACUUAUAAUAUAUUCCGUGUUAGGAAUGUUGUAGAAUGCACGCUAGCGAGUCUCCUCUUGGAAACGACAUCACGAAGUCGUAAUUAGCUAGCUUUGCACAAGGCAAUCCAGGUUACUUUUCAAAGUUAUGGCAUGGUUGGAAUAGGAGAACCAUUGGAGAUUUAAGUACGUAGUGGCGUUCGUUUUCUAAAAGUCUUAGCUUAUUUUCUUCCGCUGUGCAAUGAAGAUACCAGUCCAGUCAGGCCAAAGCUCUGAUAAUUUCGGGGUGUGACAGUUGGAUCUAGUUUCUUGCCAUCUUAGCUAUUGUUACCGACAUAAUUGAGCCGGAAAUUACCAACGGAGGAAUCGAGGUCAACAUGACGAGUGUAAGAAGCCAUCCCUUGACGAAUGCUAUCACAAAACCACCUAUGAAUGUUGAAAACAACUGUGUGAAUUUUGCAACCUGGAAAUUGGAAAAUAUUUUAUUAGUUUUUCCGCCAAUGUAUAUAUAUUAAGAUUAAAAAUGAAAAGUUUAUACACAAACCUUUUCCCCCA